GGCAUGUUUAGCUGUGUUACAAGCAGAGGAACUUCAUACUGGUAGUUUCAGAAAUUAAUGGGGCAGCUUCCCAAUAUGCCUUGGAGUAUUCAUUCAAUCAUGCUGUUUUUUGCUCUUGGAGACGUGCUGCUGGUUUCCACAGAGGCACUUCGCACAGCAAUAAUUAAAAUUAGCAAAACGACUGCAGUGGAAGGGGAGACCAUUGAAUUCAGAUGUGUGAUAUCAGCUGUGCACGGAGAACAAGCAGAGAACAAGGGGAGGAAUUGGUUCCAUUUAUAUAAAAACAGAGAGAAGAUCAGCUCACAGCUGGAGUCUGGAGGAAGGGGAGCUGUCACAUUUAUAAAACAAGACAUCAGAAAGAAUGACGCUGGAAACUAUACCUGCAUGUAUGGGAAUGAGAAUCCAGGAGAUGUGCAAAACAUCAGCCAUGGCUCUUCAGUUCAUCUCAAUG